rnacentral:rRNA from 1 species
UACGGAGGAUGCGAGCGUUAUCCGGAUUUAUUGGGUUUAAAGGGUGCGUAGGCGGCCGAGUAAGUCAGCGGUGAAAUUUUGCAGCUUAACUGUAACAGUGCCGUUGAUACUGCAUGGCUAGGAUUUGGUUGCUGUGGGUGGAAUGUGUGGUGUAGCGGUGAAAUGCUUAGAUAUCACACAGAAUAUCAAUUGCGAAGGCAGCUCACAAAGCCAAGAUUGACGCUGAGGAACGAAAGUGUGGGGAUCAAACAGGA